UACGGAGGGUCCAAGCGUUGUCCGGAAUUAUUGGGCGUAAAGCGCGCGCAGGCGGUCUCUUAAGUCUGAUGUGAAAGCCCCCGGCUCAACCGGGGAGGGUCAUUGGAAACUGGGAGACUUGAGUACAGAAGAGGAGAGUGGAAUUCCACGUGUAGCGGUGAAAUGCGUAGAUAUGUGGAGGAACGCCAGUGGCGAAGGCGACUCUCUGGUCUGUAACUGACGCUGGGGCGCGAAAGCGUGGGGAGCGAACAGG
rnacentral:misc_RNA from 1 species